rnacentral:lncRNA from 11 species
AUGAGGCAAGAAAACAAAGGGGUACAACAAAAUCAGGAAAAGGAAAUGGCUACUUCCCUUCCACAAAUGCCUGAGCUCGACGUUAGUCCUGAAUACACUGAAGAUAUUAAUGAAAAUAUAACAGUAGGAAUGUGUUACAUCGUUCAACUAAAAGCCUACAAAGAAGCAAGCAAUGACGCCACAAAGGAGGAUUUUUCUUUUAAAUCUUUAGGAGCAUUGGUGGUAAAAACCAGUAAGCCAUUUGAGCCAGAAGCACUAGUUUGCCUGAUGGGCUGCUGCUGGAUUUAUCAGAGGUCACCAAAUGUGAUCUUGCAGGUAGGGAUCAAAGUUUCUGAUCCUCCUUUCCAUUUCUAUACUUAUCAGACAGAUAAUUCAUCAGGGAAUUGCUGGGCCAUGAAUGGCGCUCAGGGCUUCUUAAUAAUUAAACCCAGCUGCCCUGCUUUUUUGCUUCUGGACCACCUUAAAAAGGAAAUCACCAGUGCUCCACCAAGGAGAUCACCAGUGCUCCACAAAACUUUUCUGUAUAUGUGAGUAAC